GAGUCAGUAGUGCAACGGGUCAGAGCAUGCGUUCCCAGAUAGAGUGAGAUGUGAGUUCGAGUCUCGCCUGACACG